UAAAACAGAGCUUGUCCUUUUGCAUUAUAAAACAAUCAAACAUUGUUUAUUUCAUCCAAAUGAGAAAAUAUGACUAAAUUUUUCAAAUUUGUUAAUGUUAUAAUCCUCAUUUUUUCCUUAUUACUUGUUGGAUGCAAUGGUAAUAAUUCCUUUCUCACAUCUUUUUUAAAUUUCCUUUUUACCUUAGACUCAUCUUUCAACUUCUUUUUCUAACAUUACUUUUAUUCUUGUUUUAAUUAAUAUCGCAGCAUUUUAUUUUUGUACUACUUCCCUAGCUUGUCCAAGGAAAUUGUGCACCUUUCCUGAAGUUCCCAAGUGCAAAUGGUUCAUUUGUUCAUGCAUGGAUGAUGAAUAUCGGUUAAGUUUAAUUAAUUUUUUUUUUUUUAACAAAAGCUUAAAAGUUAUUACUUUAAAUUUUGAAGCCUAUAUAUAAUUUUAUAUGCAUGUCAUAAAGUUAGGAUCCAUAUGAUUUAUUUCAUACUUCAUAUUCAAUAUUUUAUAUUUCUUUAGUACCUUUCAAUUUUUUACAAGCUUAGAAGUGUGUGACCUCUUUUUUUUCCCUUAGAAUAUGUAGAAAACAAGAACAUCAUUUUAAUUAAUAUAAUAUUUUCUAGUAAAAAAUAAACAAAAAUAUAUUUAUAUAUUUCUUUGGUCUUUUGACCUUUUUUUUAAUAUAAUAUUUGCCAUUAAAAAAAAGGAACAUCAUUACAUGAUUAUAAAUUUAAUAUACUUUUGCAUUUAGCAUAAAAAUAUUGUUUGUUAUAGAUUUUUAAAAUAAUCAAAAGCUAAAUAUAAUUAGAAAAUGACUAAAAAUGAGAAGCUGUUAUGAGUAGCUUCUCAAAUAAUAGUUUUUUUUUUAGAGAAAAGAGAAAAAAAAUGUUAAAAGAAGAAAGUUAUUUUGUAAUUAAAAAAAUCACUUAUACAUAUUGUAUCCAAACAAACUAAAGAUUAUUUUAUUUAAAAAAGUGAUUUUAUUAUAACAAAUACAACGUAAAUUCUACUUUUCUAUAAAAUCUCCAAAAACUAAUCUCUAAAUUAUUUAACAUCAAAAUCAAGAAGUAUGCACAAUAAUUAAGCUAUGCAUGGGGUGGUAUUUAGCAAAAGACAGAAAAAAAUGUAGAUAUUUAAGAUGCAAUGGGGUAAAAAUAGCUCUCUAACCACAAUUUGCCUAGCGUGGAGUUACUAAAUUACUAUUUUGAGCUUAAAUUUUGUAUAGGAAUAAAAAUUAAAUAAAAUAAAUGGUAGUGAUUUUGUGUUUGAUUCUGCAGUUUUUAAAUGUGAAGCUCAAAAAAAUGUGAAGCUCUAGUUUUUGUAUACCAAUGAGAUGGAUAGGACAAGAGCUAGCUUGGUUCAAAUCAUGAAGAUCUAAAUCAAGGAUUAAUGAUGAUUUAUUUCGAUGUAAAUUUUUAUACAUUUCUCUUUCUUUUUUUUUUUAAUGUUUGUUAAAUACUCCAAUCAAGAACAAGAACUGGUCUCCUUCCUACAAAAAAAAAAUAAAAAAAGAACUGGCCUGAAUC
rnacentral:lncRNA from 1 species